UUUCAUAAGAAAUGGCUACCAUUAACAUAAGAGAAAUCAAAGAAAAGUAGACUUUCUGGAAAUCUAAAUUGCUCUUGAGAUUGAAUCAAUAAUGGAAUGUGAAAGUUGCAAAGUCUACAUUUAACAUAAGACACAAUUACUGUUUUCAUGAGAAAUGUCUACCAUUUAGAUGGGCAAAAUCACAAAAAAGUAGACAUUCUGGAAAUCAAAAUUGUUCUUGAGAUUGAAUCAAUGAAUAUUCACAAAAUGAAAAUUGACCAUCUGAUGUGAUCAUUAUAGUGAAACAUGGCUAUGGUAUAAAAUUCAACUGGAUUCAACAAUGUUCGGUGGUCGAUCAAAGCGGUCAACCUUAAUUCAUCUUCACUUAUCACACGAAAACUAUUUUACAUACCUCUUCGUGACCUAGUUUGGUGGAUUCUUCAACACAAUAAAGUGUCACAUAGAUGAGACAUAACCACCCAUGUAAAACUUUAGGGACGUUUACCACCCGAGGAUAGGGCUCUCCUUAUUGAAGCAUAAGCGUAAAUAGAGUUGACCGCUUCGAUCGGGGCCCAAACAUUGACGAAUUAAAGUGAUUUUCCUACCGUAGCCGUAUUUUACUAUACCGAUCACAUCCUAUUUCAUGAGAUUUUUGAAAAUUUUGCUUCCUUUAUAUAGUUGGCUCACAAAGUUGUACACUAGCAUAUAAUCUACCAAACAAGUUAUACCACAUUAGUAAGCACAUUAUAAUUCCGAUGACUAAAAUUCACAAAAUAAAAUUUGACCGUAUGAUGUGAUCAUUAUAGUGAAACAUGGCUAUGGUAUAAAAUUCAACUGGAUUCAACAAUGUUUGCGGCUCGAUCAAAGCGGUCAACCCUAAUUCAUUUUCACUUCUCACACGAAAACUAUCUUACCUACCUCUUCGUGACCUAGUUUGGUGGAUUCUUCAACACAAUAAAGUGUCACAUAGAUGAGACAUAACAACCCAUGUAAAACUUUGGGGCUGUUUACCACCCGAGGAUAGGGCUCUCCUUAGUGAAGCAUAAGCGUAAAUAAGGUUGACCGCUUCGAUCGGGGCCCAAACAUUGGCGAAUUAAAGUGAUUUUUCCACCGUAGCUGUAUUUUACUAUAUCGAUCACAUCAUAUUUCACGAGAUUUUUGAAAAUUUUGCUUCCUCUAUAUAGUUGGUUCACAAAAUUAUACACUAGCAUAUAAUCUAUCAAACAAGUUAUGUUACUUUAGUAGGCAUGUUAUGAGUUCGAUGACUAAAAUUCACAAAAUGAAAAUUGAUCAUAUGAUGUGAUCAUUAUAGUGAAACAUGACUAUGGUAUAAAAUUCAACUGGAUUCAACAAUGUUCGGGGCUCGAUCAAAGCGGUCAACCCUAAUUCAUAUUCACUUAUCACACGAAAACUAUCUUACCUACCUCUUUGUGACCUAGUUUGGUGGAUUCUUUAACACAAUAAAGUCUCACAUAGAUGAGAUUUAACCACCCAUGUAAAACUUUGGGGACAUUUACCACCCGAGGAUAGGGCUCUCCUUAGUGAAGCAUAAACGUAAAUAGGGUUGACCGCUUCGAUCGGGGCCCAAACAUUGGCAAAUUAAAGUGAUUUUUCUACCGUAGCUAUAUUUUACUAUACCGAUCACAUCCUAUUUCACAAGAUUUUUGAAAAUUUUGCUUCCUCUAUAUAGUUGUGAACAUAAAUAGUAACUUUUGUUUUUAAAGCAUAAUUAUCCCCCCAAAAUGGAAACUUACCCUUCCUUUUAUAGUUGAUUUCCAUAAAUAGUAACUUUUGUUUUUAUAGCAUACACUACCAGAAGAAAGACUUUAGCCGACGAAAAUAAAAAAACCAGGCCGACGAAUUAUUUUUUCGUCGGCUAAAGUGGACUUUAGCCGACAAAAUUUCCAUUCGUCGGCUAAUUAAAAAUUUUCGUCGGCUAUGGUCAACUUUAGCCGACGAAAUUAAAAUUUCGUC
rnacentral:lncRNA from 1 species